rnacentral:rRNA from 1 species
UACAGAGGUCCCGAGCGUUGUUCGGAUUCACUGGGCGUAAAGGGUGCGUAGGUGGUGAGAUAAGUCGGAUGUGAAAGCUCGGAGCUCAACUCCGAAAUGGCAUUGGAAACUAUCUCGCUCGAGGGUUGGAGGGGGGACUGGAAUGCUUGGUGUAGCAGUGAAAUGCGUAGAUAUCAAGCGGAACACCAGUGGCGAAGGCGAGUCCCUGGACAACUCCUGACACUGAGGCACGAAAGCGUGGGGAGCAAACAGG